CCUGAUAAGGAAGGAUCAGAAGAUUCCCAGGGAGAGGGAGGGAGAGUGGCAGGGAAGACAAAGGCUGCCACCUAGCGGCCCUGGCGAAGCUGCUGCAGCUCGCGGCCGUUUGAGAAGCAACCUUACCGAAACAGAACCGCGCUCUCUCUCUCUCGCUUCCUCUCCCUCCUGCAAGGUUCCAUUUUAAAGGGGAAACACCACACUUUAAAUACAUACACACCUACAUAAUUGAUAUUAUAUGUGCAGGAGUUAUGGUACCUUCUACAACAUCUAAACAGUGCUUCACGUCUGAUGAACUUCAACACAUCACAGAGAGCAAGCAAGUUACCGAGGGCAUUCUCAUUACAUGAACGGUCUGGGUUGCCCUGUCUGGGUUGCCCUCCGCUCUCAGCUGCUUCAGUUGAGGGUGGCCUGCCUUUUGUACCCAGGAUUUUACUGGGAUAAAAGGAACCACAGGUUCAUUUUACCUUGAUAGGCAAUUGUUUGAACGAUUGCCCCUGGGUUACUGGGCUCCUUAUCAGCCUGCCACCAUUUCCGGCAGUGGCCAGA